GACAAUCUAUCUAUUUAUAUUAUUUUUUUAAAAUUAUAUUUCUAUUCUAUAGAAAUGAGAAGUUGGUCGACCAAGGGUAUAUUUGUCAUUAUACCCUCUUAUCUUAUUAUUUUAAUAUUAUUUUAUCUAUACUAUUCUAGACUUUUCCGUCAAAAAAACCUCGCAUCCAUCAAAAACCCAACACUCUAUACUUUUUCAGUCAUUUUCAUCUGCUCAGUCACUUUCAUCUCCUUUACUCAUCUGUAAGUCACUUUCAUCUCCUUUUACUUAUUUGAUUCAUCUUCUCAACUAACUUGGUAAAUUUUUUUCUCAUCUCCUUUCCAUCUCUUUUCAAAAUUUCGGAUUUCAUGCUGAAAUUUUUUGUAGGUUCCAUUAUUGUUCAUUCAAACUUCUAUCAAGAAUUUCUUUAUCAGUUUUUUUUCAUCUACUUUGAAUGUUCUAAUUUCAGAUCUGAAUAUCUCCUACUUUUUUCCCCAAGAACUAAUUUAUCAAUUUUUUUCAUCUACUUUGGUAGUUCCAAUUUCAGAUCCGAUUUUUCAUUUACUCAGUGUAAAAAUCGAUAGUUACUAGUUGUUAAAGGGUAUCAUAAUUUAAGCUCUCUGUUGUCCUACUUUUCACUUGGAAUUUUAGGGUAGAACCUAUUUUAAUCUAAAGAGGAUAUGAUAAUUACUAUGGCUAAUAAAAGCAAUUGAGUAGUAAGUCAUUCAUCAAGUCUUGGUGCUUUCUAUUUUCAUAAAAUAGGAAGUACAAAAAAAAGGAGUAGAAAAAAAUUAAGUUAGGUGAUUAUGGGUGGAUGAAAUGCUUUUUGAUUUGGUUAACGUCGGAAAGUUGCGGAAGAAAGAGAUGUUUUAUUUUUUCUGUAUUUUCCUAUAUUUUUUUUCCCUUUUUAGCCUUUGGAUUCUUUAGCCUAUAAGAAAAUAUAUCAGAUAGAUUUUGAUACCAGAAAAGGUGCUGGUACACAAUCUUCCUUUCAUUAAAAGUAUAAAGAGAAAGGUUAAAUGUAUAGCUCUAAAUAAACAAUACUAAAUACUGUACAUUAAAUGUAUGUAGAGAAUAGAAACAUGGGUUAAAGAAACAAGAAAAAAAAUAGUAUAUAGGAAUGACUGAACAAGAGGGGAAAAAAGGAGUUUCUAGGUAUUACUCCAUCCAUUUUAUUUAAUGUGAUAUUGUUUAUUUAGACCAUCUCUAAAAAACGAUGCAUUUUUUUUGUUAAAAGUUUUACCUUUAAAUUUUCCAUUUUCCAUGGUACUUUUGAUACGGUAAUUUUUUUUAAAAUUUCAUACUGAAUCAUAUACAAAUGGUUAUCGUUCAUUGAAAAAGAAAAGAUAUUUCCUUUCUUCCAAUUAACGUGAUCCUAUAUCAUUUUUGGUACGUUAAAAUAGAAAUGAUCCCUUUUUAAAUUUAAAAAUAAUUUAAUGUAAACUUCUCAUUUUAGCUUUUCUUUGACCAAUAAUCAGCAAAGCGGCUAAUAAUUUUUAAGUACAUUUAAUGUUUGUAGCAUUACAUGAACUAAUCUUGAAUUACAUGGAAAGUGAAUGCUCAAUAUGUUUGGGAUCCUAUGAAGACAAGAAAUUGUUAAAGUUAUGCCUAAAUGUUAUCACAGAUUUCAUUCUCCAUGCCUUGAUAAGUGACUUGGUAAUCUUUAAAUUUGUCCCCUUUGAAGAUCUUCUAUUGAUUCUUCUACUAGCAUUUUAAGCUGUCCGAAUUGAUACUCAUCUACCUAAGUUAUGCAUGCAGAUACAAAUUUCAUCUCUAUUAUAUAGGAAUUGAUUCAAACAAUGACGAUAUUAAGAUAUAAACAAUAUAUUUACUCUUGUAAUUUUGAAUAUUAUCUAUCUUUUUCUGUUUGUGGUUGCCUAUUAUUGAUACUUUUCUAUAUUUAUUUUAUUUUCCUUAUAGGACUCACUCUCUGUUGUGAUAGCUGCGUGUUCGCGCGUUUUAGUAGCAAAUCACUGUGUGAUAAGUACUGCUCUUCUACUAGAUUUAUUUAUUUUUAAUAUUUUUCUCUUACCUUCUUCGUAUUAAGGAGGAGGUGUUGACCAGAACAUCUAAAGUUUUUGAUUUUGAAAAUAGCAUUCCCUCUCUAUCUUAGGCGUUUGUCAUUUAUUUUUUUUUAUUAUUGUUUUUGAUGAGUAAAGAAUUUACUCAUUUUAUUCAUUUCAGGCCAUCUCAUCAUACUUUAACUCUUUUCAACUAAAAGGUAAUCUAUUCUAUUCAGAAUCAGAUAUGAAAUUUAUAUCAUUAUCGGAGUUGCUUUUGUUUGUGAUAUAUGUCAGUAUGAUUAAACUUACAUUACUCAUAAGCAUAUCAUUAUAUGUAGCUAAAAUUUUAGUGUUUUCCUUUUUAAGCCUUAGUAAUAAGAAAAAUAUCUUGGCAAUAGAUAAACUGCCUUAAUGGCAAAUAGAAACCAUGAAAAUGACCAGAUCUUUGGAAAAUCACAUGCUGACAAAAGGGCUAGGAGACGCGAAUUAUAUAGACUGAUGCCACCUGAUAAAAAAGAGGCCCUUUUGGCACGACGGCGUGCAAACAGAGCUGAAUUAAAAAGACGACGGUCUACUGAAUCUUCAAUUAGUAUUGAUGCAGCUAACGCAUCAACCUCUAAUGCUGUCAAUGUUUCUACCAACCAAAGUUCUCUUAUUAUAAAAGAUCCAUUGGCUUUUUUAAGGAAAAGAACAGGUAUGACUAAAAAUUAAGGUUUGUUUAAACUACAUCUACUCAGAACAGUAGUGAUUACCUUUUUUUUUUUGGGUUAAUAAUCUACUCAAUACUAGAGUUUUCAUAUGCAAGGAAUGUUUUCACAGAACCUGGUUGUUCAAGUAGUAUGCAAGCAGAAAAUACUUAUGUUAAAUUAAAAGAAGUACCGAAAUGCCAAUUUUGUGGAGCAAAAAAAAUUUGAAUAUGAACCACCUGCAUUCUGUUGUGGUAACGGUUCUAUUCAACUAAUUUCACAUGAAAUGCCAACAGAGUUAAGAAACCUUUAUUUGGGAAAUAGUGAGGAAUCAAAACAUUUUCGAACUUACACUAGAACAUACAAUAACAUAUUUGCGUUCACAUCCCUUGGUGUUUCUUAUGAUAAAGAGCUAGCAAAAAGAAAUAAUGGUAUCUAUACAUUCCGUGUUCAAGGGCAAAUAUAUCAUAGAAAGUGCAAAUAAGAGGACACCUUCUUGAUAAUUCAUGGGUUGUUCCUUAUAAUCCAUAUUUACUUUAUAAGUUCAACUCUCAUAUGAAUGUAGAGAUUUGCUCUGAUAUUAAAGUUGUUAAGUAUAUUUAUAAGUAUAUUUGCAAAGGACAUGAUAAAAUUGCAUUUCAUAUACAUGCUAAUAAUACAAACAUAGAGAUAGAUGAAAUAAAGGAAUACCAAUCUGCUAGGUGGGUGUCACCACUUGAGGCUGCAUGGCGUAUAUUUGCUUUCCCUAUUAGUGAAAUAUUUCCGAAUUAUAUCAUCUUCAACUACAUCUUGAUGGACAACAACUUGUUUCCUUCAAGAAUACGGACAAUAUUAGUAAAAUUGUGAACAAUCCUAUGGUUAAAAAAACAAUGUUAACUGAGUUUUUUUAAUGAAUCGAGAAAACAAAGGUGCUAUGGACUUAAAUUUAUUAUAUCGAGAAUUUCCAGAAUACUUUGUAUGGUCAACAACAGAUAAAACAUGGAUACGUCGUCAACGGGGAAGUGCUAUUGGUCUCUUUUUUUUGCCAACAGAUAUAUGAAAGAUAUAUGUUAGCCUCUUUUUUUUUUUUUUGCAAAAAGAUAUAUGUUAGCCUCAAUUGAGGAGGAAAUGACUGCUUCUGGUAAAAGGACCUCUAUAUGCUGCUAAAGUUCUGAGAUUAUUCUAAUGUUAACCUUUAACUUUAGAUGCCGAGAAUUUGUAUCUUCGUCUCAAAUAAGAAGACAUGACUAUUUCCCUCUUUUAACAAAAAAAUAACUGGGACAUGGCUUAUUCUACUAUAUAAGAAUCUCUAUUUCUUCCUAAGUUGCGAGAAUUUUCUAAUUCCUUAUAUUUUGUCGUAGCCUCAGUUGGAAAUUAGAAGUAGUUCUACAUUCUUUUUCGCGUAAAAUCUAAUGCUACAUUGAUAUAUCCUGAGCUAGGAGUCAUCGUGGCAAUUUAUUUCAGGUGUUCCUUCAGUUUGGAGAUUCUAUUAGCCGAUCAUGUUUUGCAAAUUAUGUUAGAUUUCUCAUAAGCCGCUCAAAAUAGUUCACCACAAGAGGGGUAAAAGCUUUAUUAAAUUUUUGUGAAUUGUGCAUAUUGUUCCAAUAGCAGGUAGAUCGAUCACCUUCUACUUAUAUAAUGUUAUUGCUCUAUGUCAACUACAUUUUAUCUCCUUUCAGAAAGUGUGAGUUCAAAAUAAAUUACUUUCAAUAGUUGUCGAAGAAGAUACAUAAGGAGUUGCUAAUUUUUUUCUUGUCUGUGGAAUAUCAAGUGUUUUGGGAAGUGAGGGAGCACCGUUGUUUCUAAAUGCUGCUUUAUUCUUGGAGCGUUGAUCUUUCUUUAGCCUUUCUGGUUCUUUAAAUUGUAUCUAUAGAAUUAUUGAUAAACUUCGAUUCAUGACUAUUUCAAUUUGCAUUACACUUGUUUCAUGUUUCACAUAUCCAAUUCUCUGGCAAAGUUAUGACUAGGGAUAAGUUUUCCAACACAUUGUAUGAUCGUGCAUUAAUUUAUGCUGUAUGAGAGCAUUCAUACAAUUUUAACUGUGCUGAGAAGCCCUUUUGGAAUAGGAUUAAUGCACUAAAAGAAAAAUAUUAUUUCUACCAGAUGACCAAAUAAUAUCCUUAUCAACUAUUGUAAUGGCUUAAAUAGGUGGCCAUUGAUGCAUUUAAUAUUGGUGUGCAGGUUGGAUGGAGUAGGAUGUGAGCUUUGUCUCUUAUUAGCUCUGUGAGUGCUGUCUCUUUAUCAGCGCACAUUUACACAAGGAAACCUCACAUUUGUUAAAGUUCAACUCUUGAAAAUAAAUUGUAUCUCUUGUAAGUCUCCCAUAAGUAAAGAUAUAUAUUUGUUUGUUCGUGUUUGAUGAUCAAUCGUUUCAAGAAUUCUGUGACAUGGUCUUUUGUUCACCUUAAUCUUUUGCAUGAUGGAGAAUCGUUCUAACAAUCCAAUGACACUUUUAUGUAUUGUACUGUUUUAUCAUAUCUGAAUUUACAUGGCUACAUACUAGCUUUAUCAAGAACGUAUCAAAAUAUCAAGAAUCGAAUAUGUUGGGCCCGUGCUAAGCACGGGUAGCACUCAUCUAGUAAAUAUACAAUCAGGGAUGAUGGAAGGUUAGUUGAAUCUGGUUCGUAACAAGUAGGUUCGACUCUAUUUUACGGUACCCCUUUCGUUACAAACUUUUGAGUAAUUAUUUUGACUUAAGUUUUGUGCACUAAUGAUGUAUAUAUUCACAUAAUUAAGUUAUUUUAUAGGUAAUUACAGGUAACUUUAUUUAAUAGCAUUAAUAGGUAAUCUUUAAUAAAUGGUAAAAAACGUAUUAUAACAUGUUAUAUUACAUUGAUGGUACAAAAAUCUCAGGUACACUAUUAGUGUUUAUAACGUAAAUCCAAUUACUAAAAUAAUCAACUUUAUUAAACACCUUAUAAUAUUGAAAAAGUGCUUGUUAAACGGUGACGUUAACUCGCAUCGAGCAAACCACCUUUAUACCUUUAACAAUUAAAUUAUUGCGACAAAAUGAAUAUUAUAUAUGUAUCAUGUUUUCGAUACAAUUUCAAAUAAACAGGAACGAAAAAUUUGCCUUUUGGCCUCUACAUAAAAUAUGUCAAAAUAUUAAUUUAUACAAAUACAUCAUGCGAAUGCCUAUGCCAAGAUUAAAACCACCCACUACGUUUAUAGAGUCUCUAUGAACAAAAUGAAACAAAUGAAAAAAGUGAAUAAUGUACACAACCUUCACUGGACAUAAGGUACAGUACGACAUACCCAAAAUGGAAGAGAGGUGAUGACAAUUCUAGCUCGCACGUCGGCCAUCACAAGCAACGCACCUAUAUCUAUGAUAGAAAAAAUCAUGGGAAAAGAGAGUGCAACAACCCAGCCGAUCAUUUUAUGUAUUUGAUCUCGUUCCCUUAUUUGAUACUUUUUCUAUGCUUUUUUGUUAUUUUGUGACUUGUGGGAAUGGUAAGGUUGGUCUCGGGGAGGUUUUGGAUUUAAUUGGAACACUCAGAUCCAAGGUUGGAAGUUUAUAUUAUAAAAAUUGACCGAGAUUAGACUUUUAUGUAAACGACCUCGGAAUGGUAUUUUGAUGAUUCCAAUAUGUUUGUGUGGUGAUUUUGUCUUUAGAUGUAUGUCCGAAUUUGGAUUUGGAGGUUCCUAGGUUGAUUUGGUUCUUUUUGGCAAAAGCUAAAAUUUUUAAGGUUUAGACAGUUCAUAGGUUUGAUCGUUAGUUGACUUCGAUGUUACUGGGUAUGGAUUGUUGUUCCGGAAGUUGGAAUAGAUUCAUUGUGUUAUUUGAAACUUGUGUGCAAAAUUUGGAGUUAUUCCGAGUUGGCUAGACGUGGUUCGACAUGAGUUUUAGAAGUUUAAAAGUUAAUUGUUCAUUAGGCUUGAAUUGAGGUGUGAUUUGUAGUUUGAUGUUAUUGUUUGUGAUUUGAGGCUUCGAGUAGGCCAGGGUUAUGUUUUGGGACUGGUUGGUAUGUUUAGAAGGGGUCCCGAGGGGCUCGGAUGAGUCUCGGAUCAUUUUGAAGUUUGAAGGUAGUCAAGUUCUGGUGUUUUCCUACUUGCGUGGUUUGGACCGCAUGUGCGAGUUUGCGAAAACGGAUAGGAUGGUGCAAAAGUGAAUUUUGGGAUGGAUAGUGGAUUCCGCAAGUGCAGAAACUCAUGCGGAAAAGCGAGCCCUUGGUCGUAAAAGUAAGCUCCCAGGUGCGAGCUGGAGCCCGCAGAACUGAGAAUCGUUGGGCAGUGUAUUAAUAAUCGAGGGUUUGACUUGUUUUAUCAUAUUUUGAGAUUUGGAGCUCGGAUUGUGACGAUUUUUGAGGUAUUUUUUUACCCACUUGAAUUGGGUAAGUGCUAUUGAUCGGAUUUUGUUUAUGGUUCCAACCUUGAAUUUGGCAUUUUAUUGGUGAAUCUAAGUGAGAAAUUAAAAAUUGCGACAAAAACUUUCUAAUAUAAAAAAUAGAGAUUUGAACCCUGAUUCAGAUUUGGAUUAAAUUAUAUAUUUGGACUCUUAUUCUAAUGGAUAGUUGGAAUUUUUGACUUUUGUCAUGUUUUGAUGGACAAGCCCGGAUUGACUUUUGGGUAUUUGAUAAAGAUCGAAGCUUUAUUACCUGGAAUCGAUUUGUAUAGCCGUGUUUGAUGUUAUUGAGUUAUUUUUGGUUAGAUUUAACUCGUUCGGAUGCCGAUUCGAGAGGCAAGGGCUUUUUAGAGUAUUAAUUUAGUUUAUUUAAGGUAAGUAUCUUGUCUAAUUUAGUGUCAGGAAAUACCCUUUAGGAUUAAUUUCCUAUUUGUGUUACGUGAAAAGUAACAUGUACAAAAGGUGACGAAUGUGUGCAUGGGUGCUAUGUGUGGCUUAUGCACGGAUUAAACCUUAGGCUAUUAAUAUGCCUUAAUUUAAAAAUGUGCUUUAUAUGAAACAUGCUUAAUCACUUUGUGACUACAUGAACAUGAUCUUUUCAAUUAAUUUAGCCGUAAUCAUCCCUUAUAUGUUGAACACCCAUCUAUAUUUGUAUUAUUGCCAUGUCCUUGUGCACCUUGUUGAUAAAUUGUGAGCUUAUAUUUUUGAUGAAAUUUGAAAUUAUUGUUUUGUGAUAAUUGCGGUACGUGUGAAAAUGCUGGGCGGAUUGUUUGGGUGUUGGCACGAGGUUUUUGUCGUGCGAUUUUGAUUGAUAUUGUUGUUAUUGCAAGGUACGAAGUGAUACGGAUGGAUAUUGUUAUUGUAUCGGGGUGGAGCAAUACAUGUGGAUAUUGUUAUUGUGUCACGGUGGAGCGAUAUAGAUGAAUAUUGUUUUUGUGUCAGGGCGAAGCAAUAUGGAUAGAUAUUGUUAUUAUGUCACAACGGAGUGAUACAAAUGACUAUUGUUAUUGUGAUACGAGGUAUCAUAUAGUUGUAUUUUUAUUUGAUGACUUGUUGUCAAGUUGAACCUUUACUUGCAUUGAGUUUUUAUCAUAUGUUCCAAAGAGAUUGUUGAUAUUGUUUUAUGUUAUACAUUAUGUUGCCAGUCUUUGAUAUAUUGUACAUGUUAUUUAACUAGUGAAUAUCCCAUGACUCGAACCUCGUAAGUAUUUCACCGAGGUUAGUCUUGAUACUUACUGGAUACCGAUUGUGGUAUACUCAUACUACACUUUUGCAUAUUUUAUUGAAGAUCCAGGUGUUGGAGGCAACAAACCUAGGCAGUGAGGGCUUACAUUGACCGCGAGGAUUCAAGGUAGAGCUGCAUGACUGUCACAGUACCUUGGAGUCAUAUCCC
rnacentral:lncRNA from 1 species